UUCAGAUAUUUUAUUCUCUCUCAUCUCUUUCUCUCUCUCUACCUACAACUUUCUAGAAAAAACACAGAUCCAUUGUUCGUUCUUUUUUCUUUAGCAUAAACCACCAUUUUUUUUUUUUCUCUUUGUUCGACGCUUCUUUAUGAACUGCUUCUUUAUGAACUGGACUUCAAUGGCGAUUAUUGCCUGUUAUGAACUUACAAUUAUUCGUCUUUUUAUCAUGCUCACGUUUAACUUGAAAUACUCGGUAAUGAUAAUUGGAUGAAGCGUCUUAAAGAAAUGGUCUCUCGUUGAUUUCUUUUCCACUUAUCAGACUUGUAGCUCAUCUAUGAAAUCUUGCUGGUAGAAGCCUGAUGUAACAACUGUGAGGCAUUGGUUACAGUUUUUGGCUUGCUUUCCUAAUGCAGUUGUAGCCUGGUGCAAGUUUCAAGGACAGAAUAACAGGGUUCAUUGCUUUUGCUGAUGCUUCAUUGUUUUGAGGCUGUGGCUGGCUUAGCUGAAGAUUGAUAUGUGCGUGAAAGUCGUUUCUGUUGGGUCGAUCAGGAAUAUAAGAACUUCUGUUUGAUUCAGUCACACCCCCUGCACAGUGAAGCUGGUACAUAAACUUCAGCUUAGUAGCUACUCAACAAUUUUCACUUUCCGGAUUCAAAGAUUAAAAGGGGAAACAAUAGCUACAUUUAGGAUUAUGCAUACGCUUUAUAUUGGGGGGACCAGGAACAGUACAAGAUGUAAACUGUGAUGGGUCUAAGCAUGCUUUACCUUUUUCAUACGGACACCUUUCAGACUCAUUUCGAGUUGAUUUUCCAGAUCCUGUAGAUCUUUGACGCUCAAACCAGAAAGUUGUUCUCCCAACAAAUGCCUGCAUUGCUUACAUUUCUUACACUGGAAUUGUAGGGUCAUAAACUACCAGCACUACAUUUGCUCUCUUCCUCCCUUCCUCUUCUCCCUCAAAAGAUGGAUUUCUUCAUUUGGACGCUUUUAGUUUGCAAAAUUCUAGCACUUUUGAUUGGUAAAAACAAACGAAUUAUCUUUCAAUGGAAUUAUGUUGAAACUUGACACUUGCGGACUAGUCAAGAGCUUCUUACUAGCAUCCGGUGUGUUUGUUAUGGGACCUGUUCAUUCUUCUGCAAAUGCACACAAAAGGUUAAAGCUCUACUUGACCCACUGGGAGAUGGAGCAUCGGCUUAAAUGCUGCUAUAUGCCUUUUUAUUUUGACCCCACCUACAAUCUUAUGCAGUUUAAAUUCACAAACUACCAAGAUGAUGAUAAAACUGCCAUCAGCUUCCAAUUGAUACUUCCAAAAUUUCCUCAAUAUUGUUUGAGCACUUUGUAGGUCAUGCAUGGCUGCCUAUGCCACAAAUCUGCAGUAUGUAAACUUGUUAGGAAUCUUACCUUGACUUCUGAAGUGGGAUUCAGCAAUUGAUGAUGUUCCUCUUUCACUUCCUUGUAUCGUUCGAUUAGAGAUUUCAUGCUGAGACAAAUUAGAAUCAAAUGAUUAUCUCUAUUCUCCACGUCUAUGCAUGUGCGAGUGGAACACAUGUGAUGUAACAGUACUUUUAUAUGAUAAGAUCAUGAUAUUUAGGAAAGCAAAAUAAAUGUCAAAAUCUAUUAAUUAGAAGUCUUCGAAUCUACAUGUUAUUAUUAUUUUGUUUUCUCAUCUAAAUUUUUAGUUGCAUCUUUCUUC